AUACGUAGGGGGCAAGCGUUAUCCGGAAUUAUUGGGCGUAAAGCGUGCGUAGGCGGCUUUUUAAGCGUGGGGUUUAAGGCUAUGGCUCAACCAUAGUAUGCCCUGCGAACUGGAAGGCUUGAGUACAGGAGAGGAAAGCGGAAUUCCUAGUGUAGCGGUGAAAUGCGUAGAUAUUAGGAGGAACACCAGUGGCGAAGGCGGCUUUCUGGACUGAAACUGACGCUGAGGUACGAAAGCGUGGGGAUCAAACAGGAUUAGAUACCCUGGUAGUCCACGCUGUAAACGAUGAGCACUAGGUGUCGGGGUCGCAAGACUUCGGUGCCGCAGUUAACGCAAUAAGUGCUCCGCCUGGGGAGUACGUUCGCAAGAAUGAAACUCAAAUGAAUUGACGGGG
rnacentral:rRNA from 1 species